CCUACGGGUGGCUGCAGUGAGGAAUAUUGGUCAAUGGCCGCGAGGCUGAACCAGCCAAGUCGCGUGAGGGAAGACUGCCCUACGGGUUGUAAACCUCUUUUGUCGGGGAGCAAAGCGAACCACGUGUGGCUCAUUGAGAGUACCCGAAGAAAAAGCAUCGGCUAACUCCGUGCCAGCAGCCGCGGUAAUACGGAGGAUGCGAGCGUUAUCCGGAUUUAUUGGGUUUAAAGGGUGCGCAGGCGGUCUGUUAAGUCAGCGGUCAAAGCUUGGGGCUCAACCCCGGACUGGCCGUUGAGACUGGCAGCCUCGAGUACGAGUGAGGUAUGCGGAAUGCGCGGUGUAGCGGUGAAAUGCAUAGAUAUCGCGCAGAACUCCGAUUGCGAAGGCAGCAUGCCGGCUCCACACUGACGCUGAGGCACGAAAGCGUGGGUAUCGAACAGGAUUAGAUACCCGAGUAGUC
rnacentral:rRNA from 1 species